UCUGAGGGUUAAAUUACUUAGAAGAGUAAGGAUUAAAUCUGAAAAUCAUGUUUUAGUGGCGGUUUGGAAUCCUAUUAGAAGGUUAUGUCUAAUAAUUAGAAGUUGCGCUAGUAUCUUACUCAAGUUGGAGUAAUAAUCAUUUUAUACACCGUCAUUUAUAUAAUGGUAUAACUAUAAAUAUCUGUAAAAAGUAGUAAAGUAGAUCAUGGCAUAGACUAUGCUUGUGAGUAGAUGUAAUUUAAUUAGCUUAUUUGAAUAUUUUAUGUAAAAUAUUAUAUAAAUUAGAAUUUAAUAGUAAAAAUAGUUCAACAUCCUAUUUUGAAAUAGGCUCUUCUGAAUGU
rnacentral:rRNA from 1 species